rnacentral:sRNA from 1 species
AGAUGGGUAGAGAGAAGAGAGAGAGAGAGAAGAGG